rnacentral:tRNA from 1 species
AGCAGCGUGGCUCAGUGGAAAGAGCCCGGGUUUGGGGGGUCAGAGGUCAUGGGUUCGAAUCCCGGCUCUGCCA